rnacentral:rRNA from 1 species
AACUGUUAGUGGUGGAUCACUCGGCACGCUGAUCGAGGAAGAACGCAGCUAGCUGCGUUAAUCGGUAUAAAAUGCAGGACAUGCCGAAUACUCGACUUUCGAACGCAUAUUGCAGCCUAGGUUAUACCUUGGCUUCGUUUGUCUGAGCGUCG